rnacentral:piRNA from 1 species
UGUGUGAAGUGUGCGAAGUCG